GCCCUUGUAGCUCAACGGUAGAGCGCAGCCCUGAAAAAGCUGAGAAGAAGGUCCGAUUCCUUCCAAGGGCA
rfam:Candidatus Kaiserbacteria bacterium RIFCSPHIGHO2_01_FTLL_55_17 rifcsphigho2_01_scaffold_30088, whole genome shotgun sequence.